CAGCAGCCGCGGUAAUACCGGCGGCCCGAGUGGCGGUCACUAUUAUUGGGCUUAAAGCGUCCGUAGCCGGGUUGGGAAAUCCUCCGGGAAAUCUGGCCGCUUAACGGUCAGAAUGCCGGAGGAUACUCCCAGCCUAGGGAGCGGGAGAGGCCGAGGGGAUUCCCGGAGUAGGGGUGAAAUCCUAUAAUCCCGGGAGGACCACCUGUGGCGAAGGCGCUCGGCUGGAACGCGUCCGACGGUGAGGGACGAAGGCCAGGGGAGCAAACCGGAUUAGAUACCCGGGUAGUCCUGGCUGUAAACGAUGCGGACUUUGUGUCGGACAAGCUAUGAGCUUGUCCGGUGCCGGAGGGAAACCGUUAAGUCCGCCGCCUGGGGAGUACGGCCGCAAGGCUGAAACUUAAAGGAAUUGGCGGG
rnacentral:rRNA from 1 species